AUGGCAAGUCUCAUCCAUUGGGAUUUUGCCCCUGGGCUCAAGGUGGAGCAGAAGUUACGUGCCAAGUUCAGAUCCACGGUGCGCUUUGAUAGUUCUUUGGGAACCAAGGAAUUUUUCUUGGUUGUCUCUUUCUCGUUGGCCUCCUUCCCUCUAUCCGAAGAGGCGGUAGGAGUGGUUUUGCAAUGUUGCAUUGGUGGUUUGGCCACGGGUUUCAACGUCAAACAAUUGGGAGAUCGUAAUUUUCGAUUUUCGAUGGCUUCCAAUUGUGUUGGUCACUUCAUCUACGGUUUGAAGGAUUGUGUGUGGCCAAAUUUUGUUUGUCAUUUCCGCUUGUUCAAAGUUUCGGUGGACUCUGCUUGGAAGGGAUCGGAUUAA
rnacentral:rRNA from 1 species